ACGCUGGCGGCGUGCCUAACACAUGCAAGUCGAACGAAGCCCCAUGUACUUGUACAAGGGGUGUCUUAGUGGCGAACGGGUGAGUAACGCGUAGGUGACCUACCCCGAAGUGAGGAAUAGCCCCGGGAAACUAGGGGGUAAUACCUCAUGUGAUCGAGGUUUUUAGAAAAGCCCUUGAUGAAAGGAGCAAUCCCGCUUUUGGGGAGGGGGCCCUGCGACCCAUCAGCCUAGUUGGGUAGGGGUAACGGGCCUACCCAAGGGCUAUGACGGGGUAGGGGGGCCCUGAGAAGGGG
rnacentral:rRNA from 1 species